rnacentral:rRNA from 1 species
AGAGUUUGAUCCUGGCUCAGGGUUAACGCUGGCGGUGUGUAUAAUACAUGCAAGUCGAGCGAGAUUUUUAUUCUAGCUUGCUAGAAUAAAAAUGAAAGCGGCGAACGGGUGAGGAACACGUUGGUAUCUACCCCAGACUCAGGGAUAACGUAUAGAAAUAUACGCUAAUACCGGAUGGUCUCGUAAGAGUAAAGCUUUUGCGGUCUGGGAGGAGCCUGCGGCUUAUCAGCUAGUUGGUGAGGUAAUAGCUCACCAAGGCUAUGACGAGUAACUGGUCUGAGAGGAUGACCAGUCACAAUGGGACUGAGACACGGCCCAUACUCCUACGGGAGGCAGCAGUAAAGAAUCUUCCACAAUGGGCGAAAGCCUGAUGGAGCGACACCGCGUGGUCGAUGAAGGUCGUAAGAUCGUAAAGACCUUUUCUGAGGGAAGAAUUAUGACGGUACCUCAGGAAUAAGCACCGGCUAACUCCGUGCCAGCAGCCGCGGUAAUACGGAGGGUGCAAGCGUUACCCGGAAUCAUUGGGCGUAAAGCGUCCGCAGGCGGUUUAUUAAGUUAAAUAUUAAACCUUGAAGCCCAACUUCAAGUGUGUAUUUAAAACUGAUAGACUAGAGUUUUUUAGGGGCAUGUAGAAUUCUGUGUGUAGGGGUAAAAUCCGUAGAUAUACAGAGGAAUACCAAAAGCGAAGGCAGCAUGCUGGAAAAAUACUGACGCUCAUGGACGAAAGCGUGGGGAGCAAACAGGAUUAGAUACCCUGGUAGUCCACGCUGUAAACUUUGGAUACUAGGUGUUGGAGGGUCUCGACCCCUUCAGUGCCGUCGCUAACGCUUUAAGUAUCCCGCCUGGGAAGUACGGUCGCAAGAUUAAAACUCAAAGGAAUAGACGGGGACCCACACAAGCAGUGGAGCAUCUGGCUUAAUUCGAUAUUACGCGAGGAACCUUACCUGGACUUGACAUCCCGAGAAUUUUCUAGAAAUAGAGAAGUGCCUUACGGAACUCGGUGACAGGUGCUGCAUGGUUGUCGUCAGCUCGUGCCUUGAGGUGUUCGGUUAAGUCCGUAAACGAGCGCAACCCAUGUCCUGUGUUGUAUUUUCACAGGAGACUGCCGAUUCAAAGUCGGAGGAAGGUAUGGAUGACGUCAAAUCAGCAUGGCCCUUAUGUCCAGGGCUGCACAGGUGCUACAAUGGUCGGUACAACGGGGAGCAAUAUCGUAAGAUGGAGCCAAUCCUUAAAGCCGAUCUAAGUUCGGAUUGAGGGCUGCAACCUGCCCUCAUGAAGUUGGAAUUGCUAGUAAACGUGCAUCAGCAAUGGCGCGUUGAAUAUGUUCCUGGGUCUUGUACUCACCGCCCGUCACACUAUGGAAGGUGGGAGCACCCGAAGUACUCUUAGCUUUUAGCGGGGUCCUAAGGUGAAACCACUGACUGGAGUGAAGUCGUAACAAGGUAACC